rnacentral:rRNA from 1 species
AGCGAACGCUGGCGGCAGGCCUAACACAUGCAAGUCGAACGAAGUCUUCGGACUUAGUGGCGGACGGGUGAGUAACACGUGGGAACGUGCCUUUCGGUUCGGAAUAACUCAGGGAAACUUGUGCUAAUACCGCAUGUGCCCUUCGGGGGAACGAUUUAUCGCCGUUAGAGCGGCCCGCGUCUGAUUAGCUAGUUGGUGAGGUAAAGGCUCACCAAGGCGACGAUCAGUAGCUGGUCUGAGAGGAUGAUCAGCCACAUUGGGACUGAGACACGGCCCAAACUCCUACGGGAGGCAGCAGUGGGGAAUCUUGCGCAAUGGGCGAAAGCCUGACGCAGCCAUGCCGCGUGAAUGAUGAAGGUCUUAGGAUUGUAAAAUUCUUUCACCGGGGACGAUAAUGACGGUACCCGGAGAAGAAGCCCCGGCUAACUUCGUGCCAGCAGCCGCCGUAAGAC